UCACAUUUGCUGUCUGGUCACCCUACUUCCUAUACCAAGGUUUCUCAAUGUAAAUAUCACCAUCACUAUUCUGUAUGUUAUUCAUUAAAAGUUUGUGUUUUCUGUUGGGGAAUGCUCUUCUUUUGUAACAUCGUAAUGUAGUCUAGAUGUUCAAAAGUUCCAUUUACCUUGAGAUCUUGGUAGUGAAUAUUUUUAAUAAGGGGAAUUUUAAAAAAGUCUAUCUUUAACUGAUACCCUAUAGAGUCCAAUUUUUACUGAUGGGCAAUUUAGUACUAUGACGCAGGGAAGCCUAUUUCAUGUGAUGCUUUACACUUUGAUAGGCGUUUUCAUCCGAGGAUCUCAACAUUCAUUAAUUCAGGUAGGUGAGUGAGUAUUUCUACUUUUCAUGAUGGGAAACUGAGGCAGAGAUAGGCAAGAACUUGCCUAAGAUCACAUAGUGAAAUCAGAAGAGAGUAGUAGCAAGGGCGCUUCACUCCCAGUUUUCGCCUCUAGCCACUAGCCAUACUGCCCCUCGUGGGAAAAUAUAUAUACUACGCUUAUGUAAUGUUACAUUGAACUAUUAAUAGUAAAUUAUUUAACAGCAUAUAAAAUUAAAUACUGUAAUAUUUCCCAGGGAAAAUAUGUAAAAUAUUAUUGGCUAUAAUAUUAAUGUCCCAUUGCCUUUAUUAGAGCUAAAUCACUGAUAAUACAAACAAAAAUUUGGUCUUUCAAGACAGGAAAAAUUUUCAGAAAUGCAGUUUUCAUUUUUCCCUUUUCUUCAUCUCAAGUAGUUUUCUACUUUAUUUGACCUUUUUAGGGCAUGUCUACACUUACCGGGGUUCGACGCUGCUGCGAUCGAUGCACCGGGGGUUGAUUUAGCAGGUCUAGUGAAUACCCGCUAAAUCGACCACAGAUCACUCUCCCGCCGACUCCAGUACUCCACCGGAACGAGAAGCAUAAGAACUAACAGAGGCAUCCAGUAUUGCUUCACGGGCAAUAUAAUCAAACAGGCUCAUGUGUUAUUCGCUACAAUUCUACUAGAGGCUUCACGGAAAUCCCAUAAGAAGCAGCACCAUAACAAGCGAAGUGAAAAUAACGGCAAGGCCACACCAGCAGGUUUCACUUUGAAGGACUAACCAACUCGAUGCUUGUUUAGAGUUCCUAAUGUUUUAUGGUGUAAUGUGGCCUACUGGAUAAAGCACUGAAUUGGCACUCAGGAGACCUGAGUUCUAUUCCUGGCUUCGCUAUUGGCUUUUGGCUCUCUUACAGAACUCAACAAUAGCAGAGUGUACACACUACAAGCAAAAGAAGUUGUCAGAAUUAAGGCUGUGCCACUUCCUGUAUAAGAAUGUCGGCCCAGAACCUUCACCUGACCCUCUGCCUGGCUUUCUGCUAUUGGUUCAAAACAACAAACCACUCCUCACACAAUGGGAAUUCUGAGGCCAUUUGAUAACAUGAGGGAAGCCCUCAACUCAUCAUUCAUGGAGGACUCCUGACUCUGGCCAAACACCCACUGACUUCAGUGACAGCUGCAGUCCCUUAGGCAAGAUGCUAAAGCAGAAGCUCCCUCAGAAGGUAUUAGCAAUAUGACCAUGCAUGUGAGGGGAUACUACAUGGCCCCAGUGGAUAGAGGACUGGACUGGACUGGACUGAGACUCAAGAGACCUGUCCAAGCUCUGCCACUGGCCUGCUGAGUGACCUUGGGUGAGCCAUUUGCCUCGCUCCGUGCCUCGGUUUCUCCAUCAUAAAAAUGGGGAUAAUGAUACUGAUGUCUUUUGUAAGCGCUUUGAGAUCUAAUGAUGAAAAUUGCUGUAUGAGAACUAGGCUUUUCUUGAUAUUGAUGAAUCAGUAUUUAUUUUUACCAUUUCUUAAACACUUUAUUUAAAUAAGACUAAAUGAUAGUUUCAGUCAUCUUGGUGGGAUGCUACAUUGCCCUCACUAGAAACAGAAGGCGACGGUUAAAUCGGUCCAGCUACAUACCACAUCACUGUGGGAGCUGAGCACCUCUGCCAUUCUGUAUGGGCUGAUCCAAGUGUCCUGAACUGAUGCACUACUUACUGACUGGCCUUUUUGUGGACUCUGUAAGAUUCUGUCUCUCUUACCCUCAAAGUUGGGCCUCUAUGCAGCAAGAUUUUAUUUUUAUUUCUAAACAUUAAGCAUUAGCUGGGUUUAGAAGAUCAUAAUCACCAAGUAGCAUUUCAGGCAGAGCAACUUGGUUUGUUCUAUCCCCCAUCUGUGUUCCAAAGCUCCUUCUGAAAAAAACAUUAACCCUGUCUCCGCUGCUAGCAACUGCAGUCUCUCAGCUGCAACAGAAUAUCUGCAUUUCAGAAGAGAUAUGUCACAUGGGGCAGCAGUUUGCCCCAUGUGACAUAGCCCUAUUGAAGGGCUUAGUCCAAUAAACUCAUCUAGACAAGGGAUACUCACCUGAGUAAGGAUUUGCAGGACUGGGACUUUCUUAGGCAGAUGUAAUGUAGUUAGUUACAAUUCUUCCAGUCAAACAUUAAAUUAUCUUUGGAAUUAGUGUAAUAGAUUUUAUUUUUUUAAGCAUGAGACUAAAUGUGAUCUUCUGAAGUUUUGAAAAAGUCAUGGUUUUCACUGUUGUUUGCAUGAGCAUAGCUUGAGCCCCCCAUUAGUAAUGUCUGCGUUGAUUUAAAAAAAGUUUUAAUUUGUUUUUCUGUAAUAUGCGUGGUCUCAGGAAAUGUACAAAGAGCUUAACCUAUUGAUCAAACUGUACAGUAAAUCAAAUUGAUUAUACUAUGCUAUCCUGCUUCGAUCAGAUUGUAUUAAUUUUAGUCCAGAGAAACUAAACAAAUUUUCAAUGUUGAAAGUA